rnacentral:rRNA from 1 species
CGCACGGGUGCGUAACGCGUGGGAAUCUGCCCUCAGGUACGGAAUAACUCAGGGAAACUUGAGCUAAUACCGUAUAAUGACUUCGGUCCAAAGAUUUAUCGCCUGAGGAUGAGCCCGCGUCGGAUUAGCUAGUUGGUGAGGUAAAAGCUCACCAAGGCGACGAUCCGUAGCUGGUCUGAGAGGAUGAUCAGCCACACUGGGACUGAGACACGGCCCAG